rnacentral:rRNA from 1 species
UUGAACGCUGGCGGCAGGCUUAACACAUGCAAGUCGAGCGGCAGCGCGGGGGCAACCUUGGCGGCGAGCGGCGAACGGGUGAGUAACGCGUAGGAAUCUACCUGAUAGAGGGGGAUAGCCCGGGGAAACUCGGAUUAAUACCGCAUACGCCCUACGGGGGAAAGCAGGGGAUCUUCGGACCUUGCGCUAUCAGAUGAGCCUGCGUCGGAUUAGCUAGUUGGUGAGGUAAAGGCUCACCAAGGCGACGAUCCGUAGCUGGUCUGAGAGGAUGAUCAGCCACACUGGAACUGAGACACGGUCCAGACUCCUACGGGAGGCAGCAGUGGGGAAUAUUGGACAAUGGGGGAAACCCUGAUCCAGCCAUGCCGCGUGUGUGAAGAAGGCCCUAGGGUUGUAAAGCACUUUAAGCAGGGAGGAAAGGAUGAUGGCUAAUAUCCAUCAUCAUUGACGCUACCUGCAGAAUAAGCACCGGCUAACUUCGU